GAUGGUCGGUAGGUAUUGGUGGUAGCGAAGACUCCCCUAACACAGACACCACUAUGAUUUCUAACCUUAAUGGACACUUAAGAGAUUCAAUGUCGAGCUACCCUAGCAAGUACAAAUACUCAGGGGGCCCACUGGUUCCGUAUUUCCGCAAACAUGACUCAGCUAGCCAAUUUUCUAGCACAUACGGCUUUGAUGUAGGCCAUAAUGGCGGACGUGGAAAAAGCGACAACUCCCGUUUUCCUGUUACCACUGGGUACAGGGCUAUACCCGCCAGUUUUGCAUCAAACCCUGGCUACCACACCAAGAAUCCACUCUAUCGUUCCUACGGCUCUCGUGGUUAUCUCAGUCAAAGUACCAGCCGCAGAGAUUUUAGUGUUUAUUCAGGAACCUAUGACAACAGAGGUCACAAAAGCUACCAGCCGUAUUUCGUACCUCGCUCAGCUAGCGAAUCAUCUAUCUCCAGCCAAGACAACGGAGCAUGGAAUCCAAGAGGUGCAUAGCAGGGCAUCAGCUGGUAUCCUACUUCUGACAGCAGUUAGUACUUGAAUGGAACUGCAAGAUUUUCCAAAUUCCUAAGCGGACAGCACUCUACCUUGAAAUUACACUAAUUAAAACAUAACCAGAGUUA
rnacentral:lncRNA from 1 species